AGGGCGCUCGCGACUCCGGCUUCCGGGGUGGGGCGAGCCGUCGGCGGCGCGCGCGUGCUUGGGUUAUAGGGCAGCACCGUCCAGCCGACCCUGGAGCCAUGUUUUCAGAGCAGGCGGCCCAGAGGGCCGGCACGCUGUUGGCUCCGCCGUCGACCAAGUCAUCCACCUUUGCCCGCGAGCCCGUCACCACCUACACCAACUCCUCCCAGCCUUUCCGGCUGGGGGAGCGCAGCUUCAGCCGGCAGUAUGCCCACAUCUAUGCCACCCGCCUCAUCCACAUGACACCCCUGUUGGUGAACCGGGCGCGGCAGCGCUGGGAUGAGGUCACUGAGGCACAGAGAAGUUAAGUGACUUGCCCAC